CUGCGAUAAGCGCCGGUAAGGUGAUAUGAACCGUUAUAACCGGCGAUACCCGAAUGGGGAAACCCAGUGUGACUCGUCACACUAUCAUUAACUGAAUCCAUAGGUUAAUGAGGCGAACCGGGGGAACUGAAACAUCUAAGUACCCCGAGGAAAAGAAAUCAACCGAGAUUCCCCCAGUAGCGGCGAGCGAACGGGGAGGAGCCCAGAGCCUGAAUCAGCAUGUGUGUUAGUGGAAGCGUCUGGAAAGGCGCGCGAUACAGGGUGACAGCCCCGUACACAAAAGCGCAUGUGCUGUGAGCUCGAUGAGUAGGGCGGGACACGUGGUAUCCUGUCUGAAUAUGGGGGGACCAUCCUCCAAGGCUAAAUACUCCUGACUGACCGAUAGUGAACCAGUACCGUGAGGGAAAGGCGAAAAGAACCCCGGCGAGGGGAGUGAAAAAGAACCUGAAACCGUGUACGUACAAGCAGUGGGAGCACCCUUCGGGGUGUGACUGCGUACCUUUUGUAUAAUGGGUCAGCGACUUAUAUUCUGUAGCAAGGUUAACCGUAUAGGGGAGCCGUAGGGAAACCGAGUCUUAAC
rnacentral:rRNA from 1 species